rnacentral:lncRNA from 1 species
ACUACAAGCUUGAUUCUCACUGUUUCUACUACUGUUUUUAGUCUGUAGAUUCUCUAAACUGUUUUUUUCAAAACAAAAAGAAAUAGUAAUCAACUAAACUUUUAGUCUAAAGUUUACAAAAUGGAAAUGUGCUGUGAACUUAACAAUCUACGUGAAAUGGUGGUUCAAUCUAUAAGUCAAGAAUCUACCAAAGUGUUGUCUGAAAUAGCAACCUGCAAGAAUAUUUUGGAUUUUCUGAAUAUAAAUGAUG